rnacentral:misc_RNA from 1 species
AAGUCGUAACAAGGUUUCCGUAGGUGAACCUGCGGAAGGAUCAUUAUCCUUUAGCUUAGUAUUCUAAACAAGUACUAAAAGCGCAUGCACCAAUGUGUUGCGUAAAAAUGCACAGCGAAGUGGGCCUCGUCCCGCGUUGCUUCCAAAUCCAGUGCUCGCUGCGAGCGCUGGUCGGGUACCUAGGUACGCAAGUACACCAAGCGGCAGAUACGUAUGUCUGCCGUGUGGCGUAAAGAUUAUUCGGAGCAUCCCGGAUAACGCCCGCUUAGCACAAAAAUUUUAUACCAAUUAAUCACACUUAUUUAUGUUGUAUGUGUAACGCACUAUCCCAUACUACUAUGAGAUAAUAACACAAAUACAACCCUAUGCGGUGGAUCAUUUGGCUC